rnacentral:lncRNA from 1 species
AAGAAUGCAUUGCUCGGGGGUGCAUUGACAGGGGCUCUAGUAUCUGCAGCCAGCAAAGAGAACAAAGAUAAAGUUCUGGUGGAUGCAAUUACAGGAGGUGCCAUUGCGACCGCUGCGGAAUUCAUCAACUACCUCACCUGAACAUGGACGUAAUAUUCUACCCGAUCUCUCUGUAGAUCCUGGAGAACUAUGAGUAGGUUUCUUGUGUCAUCUUCCUCAUGAAUUCGUAGAGCAUUGUAUAAAGAAUGUUCAAGGGUUCAUCUAAACUACUGAAGGUUGAUGCAAUGAAUUAUGAAUCUUCUGAUUUCAUCAUUCUUGAGCAAUAUGUUUGAUGCUUUUUUUAUUUUUUAUUUUGACAAACGAUAACGUUAAUGGGUUAAAUAGAUAGUUGUUAGGAGGAAAAGAAUUGGUAGGGAUCAAACAUGCUCCAUGGUGAAAGUGCAUAACUGUUUUCUGCUACUGCAAGAAAGUACGAAUAUGUUAGAUGCUUAUUGAUGCAAAGAUUUCUAUGAAUUUGUUGCAUUUGCCGAAGAAAAAACAACUGAUGCCCCAUCCAUCGUGUUGUGUUUGGCUCAUACAUUUGUAAGUAAUUAUGAGUCAUGUGUUGACAACAAUUGAAGACAUGGUGACUGCCACAAGCAAAGUUAGAAGCAAGCAAGACUUGACCUUGUGUUUGCUUGCACACAAUUGUGCAUGUUUUCUCUUCUACGCAUUAAAUGACAAAUGGAGAAAAUUGUACUUUAUAGACUAGGUAUAGACUUUGGUGCAUGCUAGGUAGGCUAGGUAAUAAUUAUAUUAUGUGAACUUAAGACUUUUUUGUUUUGGUUGUUGUUGGCAUAGUUGCUAGUGUAUGCCUAUAAGUAGAUGCAAUAUUUGUGCAUUUAGUAAUGCUUAGAAAGUGGGAAUGUAAAACAUCAUAGAAGCAUCCAAGGGGAGAGCAUCCGCCUCUUCCAUGGGAAAUGUUGAACAUGGGUUGAUAGAAAAUCAAGAGAGUUAAAGUGAAAAAUAUUCUAGUGAAAGAACUCUUGGGGUAGAGUGAGGCUUUUGGGAAAAUUCUAUGAGUGGGCGUGCAAGGGAUUCGGGAUUGAGUUAUGUUGAUUUAACUCAUGUUUACUUGUACUGUUAUUCAUAGUGAAGAGCAAUAUCUCUCCGGGGACGUAGGCAUGUUUUUGCUGAACCUCGUAAAUUUCUCGAUGUUUUUAUUUCUUGUAUUUUAUUCUGUUCAGCUGAGUGUGAUUUGAUGAGGUUGUAAUUUGAAUCUCGUUUCCGCACUAACGAACGGGCCAAGGCACAACACAUCGUAUUAUCUUUUAUUUACAAAGUUGGUAUUCAAAUAUUCAAGGGAAAGCUAAUGAAAAUGGCUUGAAAACUUUGAGUUUUAAUGAUAAUGACAAAAUAAAGGGUAAAGUGAAUAGUAUCAGGAUUGACUUUUUAGUGUAAAAAUGUGGUUUUUCGUUAAAGUGAAUAGUACCGGAUGCUUUUCGUUAAAGUUCCUAAUAUUCAAAUCCACAUCUAUAUAAUUUAGAUUAGUUUAGUACAGACAUAGUAAAACUUGUGUAAAAAAACAGUUAUAUUGUUAUAAGAACUAUGGUAUAUGCCGCUUCAUUUACAUAUACAAAUGUGAAUAAUAAGUCAAAGUGCUUAAAACCCAAAUAUUCUUUUAAAAGCAAAAGUAAAAUGUGCUUGAAAAAGAAACUCUAAUGUGCAUAGAAAAAUGUAUGACAGAGAACUUAGUCAACAAAAAUAGGGAUUUGGUUUAUGGUGUCGCGUAAGUUGGAAAUUUCAACUUUGUACUUUGGGUAUCGAGCUACCUGGCUUUACGGAGACUGUUCCUCUUUAAUCUGCACUAGAUCACUAUAUAAUAAGCCUUGCAUGGUUAUUGUUUUUUGCAUCAGCGCCUAAGAUCUCUCUUAUUAUACACAAGCACACACAUAGAACACACACAAAUCAAGUACACACUAAGAGCAAGUCCACCGGAGUGGACUUUUCCCAGGACCCAGCACAAAAACAGGGCCAGCACCCUGUCAAUCAAGUCCACCCCUUCAUGUUGACUGGUACCCAGCCCGAGCUGGGCUCUGGACUAGCCCAAAAGAGACUGAGACAGAAGCCGGGGAGUUGGCCUGGCGCGUGCGCUUCACGCAGGCGUGGCGCGAGUGCCCGACAAGGUUUCAGAGCGCGGGCUCGCUUGCAGGCGCACUCAGUCCCCCCCCCCCCCCGAGUUGGCGACGUGGCUUCCUUUAUGCCGUUGGAUUUCCAACGGCUAGUUUUCUAGACCGUUGGAUUUCCAAACGGUAAAAAAAAAUUUAAAUUUUACUUUUAAAAUAGACCGUUGGAUCAAAGAUCAACAGUCCAGGUGUUUUUCACAAAAAGUAAAUAAAAAAAAAAGCCUAACGGUCAUAAAUAUGACCGUUGGCCACGUGGCACCUCCCUAGCUCUUGGAUUUGAAUAUUUUUCAAAUCCAACGGUCCAGAUUAAUUAACUAUAUUAAAAUUCAUUAAAAAUUAUUAAAAAAUACAGAAAAAUUAUUAAAAAAUACAGAAUUUUUUUAAAAAAAAUAUAGAAAAUUUUGAAAAAUGUUAAUUUUUUUCCUAUAAAUACCUAACCCUCAUCUUCUACCUUUACACCACAUUUCAAUAUUUUCUACACUUUCUAUACUAUCUACAUUUCAAUAUUUUCUACACUUUAAGAGAAAAAAAUGUCUUCGUGGAAGCUCAUUGAAGAUGUUACGUUGUGUGAAUGUUGGGUUCACACUACUCAUGACCCGAUUACGGGUAAUGAGAUGGAUAAGCGAGAAAUGUGAAGUAAAAUUACGAAAGCGUUUUGCGAUGUACAUGGAGAAAACGCCAGAACUAGUCAAGGUCUUCAAGGUCGUUGGAAAAAACUCAACGCAUCCUUUACUUGUUGGAAAAACGCCAUCUCUCAUGCUUCCGGUAACCUCUGUAGUGGGACAAAUUUAGCGGAUCAGGUGACAAUAUUUUUAUUUAUUUAUAUGCAUUCCACUCACAUUAAUAUUUUGAUUUAUUUAAUUUCGUAUGUAAUUUUUAUGUUAUUUCUUAUGUAAUUUUUAUAUGCAUUCCACCCGCAUCAAAAUUUUAAUUUAUUUAAUUUCUUAUGUAAUUUUUAUUUAAUUUCUUAUGUCAUUUUUAUGUAAUUUAUAUGCAUUCCACCCGUAUCAAUAUUUUGAAUUUAUUUAUUUGUGUUACACCUGCAUUUUUUAACACUAUGUUAUCCCACAUUUUUAUAGACACUACAAGCUCAAGCAUUCUACAAUUCAAAGAACGGGAACAAAUCAUUCACUAGAUGGGAAUGUUGGCAAUGACAUUUAGGUCAUUCUGAGCUCCUGGAACACCAAAAAAAGCAUGCCAAAUCCAUGUAUCAAAUGAAGCCACCGCUUCCAAAAUGAUGCUUUUGGCUCCUUUUCUGUUGCCAUCUGCUCCUUGCCACGCACUUGGACAGUUUUUCCAAGUCCAGUGCAUGCAGUCGAUGCUUCCAAUCAUGUCAGGGAAGCCUCGCAUCUCACCCUUCCUCAGAAGCCUUCGCAUGUCCCUUGGCGUGGGUGUCCAAAGGUACUCAUUGGUGUAGAGGGCUUCAAUUGCAGAGCAAAACCGCAUCAGGGACUCCAAAACAGUUGUUUUUCCCAUCCUCGCAAUCUCAUCCACUUGAUCUGCAGAUGCUCCAUAUGCAAGCAUUCGCAAGGAUGCCGUAAUUUUUUGCUCGAGAAUAAGACCUAUAACAUGAAAAGCAUCCUCUUUUUGCACAAAGUAUGAAUCAUGGUUGCAAAUAUCAUUCAUGAUUUUGUUGAACAAAUUUCGUUACAUUCUAAAACACCGUCUAAAAAUAUGAUCAGGGAAUAUGCUAUUGGAAAUAAAAUAAUUUUCCAAUAGAUUUUUACCUCGUUUUUUCCCUUUUUCUAUCGAGGUUUGCAACACGUCUUGGUUUGGCUAUCUGACCCACGGCUUCCAUGACACGGCGGGAAUGUGAGGCCUUCUGCCUUCUAUGGUGAUCAUCCUCAUCCUCCUCUAUGAAGAAAGCCUCAUCUCCACCUCCACCUCCACCUUCCUCGAGAUUGGCCAAUUCUGCCUGUUGUGCCAACAACCUUUGUUGUUGCUCCUGCAACUGUUUAUACACCCUUCUUAAAGAAGACAUUGUAAUAAGAACUCAAGAUUUGAAAACGAUGAACAAGGAUUCUGAGCUAAAAAGAAGUAUUGAGCUUGGUGUGAGGAUGGAUGUAGGGAUGUAGGGUUUAUAUGGACAAAAAAAGAAAGGAUGAGGUUUUGGACAAUGCCACGUGGCACUACGUGAUUGGUUGAAAAUCUUAUUGAAAUCUUGGCUAAAUUAUUGUAAACCGGAAGUGACACGUGGCGUGUCGGGAUUGGUCGAAAAUAUUAUCGGAAAUCUAUCCACAAAAUAGUACGUUCAGAUAAUGACACGUGGCAUGACGUGAUUGGUUGAAAAUCUUAUCGAAAUCUUGGCUAAAUUAUUGUAAAACGGAAGUGACACGUGGCGUGUUGGGAUUGGUUGAAAAUCUUAGCGGAAAUCUAUUCACAAAAUAGUACUUUCAGAUAAUGACAUGUGGCAUGACGAGAUUGGUUAAAAAUCCUAUCCGAAAUUAAAACUAUUUUAAUUUUUUAUUCUUUUAUACAAAAUUUAAAAAUAUUUUAAAUGGGCUGGGUGCCAGCGCAUUUUGUAGGGAUGGAGAUUGUUUGUGCCAGCGUAUUUUUUUAGGAGUGGAGAUGUCUUGGCCUAUUACUGUUCAUUGAAGUCUGUUACUGUUCAUUUGAGUGGAUAAAUGCGCUGAGUGCUGGCGCAAAGUCCUUAGGGGUGGAAUUGCUCUAACAUAUACACAGAUUCAAAUGGAGCGUUCAAUGCGUCUUGUUUCAGCUGCCUUCGUUCUUGUCUUGCUUUUGGCCGCUACAGGUCAUUAUACCUCUUUUAUUUAAUAAUUAAAUUUUUAUGAUGUUUCUAAUAAAGCAUCUUAUUCAACCAAAAAAAUUGAUCUUUAGAGAUGGGUCCAAUGGGUGUUGAGGCAAAGACUGAGUCAAGCAAGGCAGUUGAGGGGAAGAUCUGUGAGGUUCCAAGUACCCUGUUCAAAGGGUUGUGCUUUUCGUCUAACAACUGUAAACACACUUGCAGAAAGGAGCAAUUCACCAGAGGCCAUUGUAGUGUCUUCACCCGUGCUUGCGUGUGCACCAAAAAGUGCUAAUUAAUUAGUUAAAAAGAAAUGUAAUCUAUGUAGAGACCGUGCUUGUGUAAUGUGAUGGAUUGAUAUGAUCCUGUAUCCACAUGGUUGCUUUUGCUAAUAAAUUGAAUGACCCUGCAUGAAUCAUUAUUCAUAUGUCUAGUGUAGUGUUUUCAUCGCCUGAUGUACUUUUAGUUACCUAUUAUCCUAUAUGUUUUUCUUUAGGAUUAUUAUUAACAUUCUAGAUAGUCACCACAGACUCUUCUUUUAUUUAUUAACUUUCAAUUAAGAAAGAGUGCACGAUAAUUAUUGUAAAAUGCUAAUAACAAUAAUUUUUUUUUUUCCUUUUGUACAAAGCAUUUUGUUGAAAAUUUGCACUUUGUGUACUUGGAUUCAACACAUUACUUUAAUUUGUGUCACAAAGAUUAUUUAAAUCACAUUGUCGAUUUCAUAUGUACUUUUUUGUCCGCACAUUCUGUUGUAUUAGGUUCUUUUGCCUUUUAAACCAGUAGUAAUAAACGUAACACAAGGUGAGGGAUGCACAAGAAAAAACAAAAUUAGAAAAAGGUUCGAAAUUGCUUAACCAACUUUUAAGCAAAGACCUAAUUAUUAAUUUUUAUUUUAUUUUAUUUUAGAAGAAAUAGUCCUUAAAGAUUAAUAUUUUCUCGAUAACAUUUUAAAUGACUCUUCCACAUUUUUUUUCUUAAAAUAAUUUCAUUUUUUUUUUGUCACUUUUAUGCAUAGUAUGUGUGGUAUUGCCAAGGAUGGAACCACCUUAGGCCCAAGCGACGGAUGCCCUAACUCAGUUUUUUUUGUGAAAAAAUUGUACAUAUUACAUAUAAUAAUUUCACGUGAUAAAACAUUUUUAGCUAUGAAAUUUCUAAAUGAUCGAUUGAGAAAUUGUAAGAAAAUUAAUUGAUGAAUAAUAACAUGAUUAUUUUUAUAGGAAAACUAAUGAAAAGAGCUUGAAAUUUUUUAAUUUUAAUAAAAAAAAACCAUGUUAUAAGUUUUGUUUAAUGAUUAGUACAAAGCCCAUAUUAAAGUAGUCCAACUAAAAAUGGCCCAACUAUACUUUUUUAGGUUGAGUUACAGAUUUUCGUCGUUAAUGGAAUUCAUCGUUGUUUUGCAGACCUUCUUCUUUUUCUUUGAAACAAAAAUAUAGAUCCUCAUGCUAUUUAAUUCAUAUUUUGUAUUAUUUUGUUGAAAUGUGAUCGUUGUUAUUAUUCGUAGUGUAUUCGAGGUACUGUUUUCAAUUUUUCUUCAUCAGUGGAGUUCAUCGUUUGUUUCUUCGGAAAAUAAAUUUGAGAACUGCAUGCUAUUCAAUAAUAACGACGAGUCACUGUUUUUGGUCUGUAAAAAUAAACUGUUUCUGAAUUUUAAGUAACACUGUUUCUGGAAUCUAAGUUACUGUUUUUGAAAUCUAAGUCACUGUUUAUGGAUCCCAACGAAAUAGACACACAGUUUCUUAAAUGUAAGAUAGAAAAGAAGUAGUGAAAUUCACUGUAUUUGAAUAAGCACCCUGUUUCUUAAAUAUAAUCAACUGAUGCAUGAAAGAAAAUAAACCGUUAAAGGUUAAAACAUAGACUGUUUCUGGAAUCUAAGUCACUGUUUUCUGGAAUUUAAGUCACUGUUUAUGGAAUUUAAGUCACUGUUUCUAGAGUUUGGAUGAUUUUUUUAUUAAACUUUGAGCCUUUUUGGUUAAAUAACAUUUUGGGAUGAUUUUUGGUUAAAUAUUUGUUGGCCCAAGCCCUUUUCAUUAAAGCACCCUAUUUUUAUAGGAAAAGAUAUUUGAUGGUAUUGGUAAUGAAAUUAUUACGCAAAGCUUUCAAAACUUGAAAAUGCGUCGUGAGAUAUUGUAAUAUGUUGUAUGAUAUAUUUUAUGGAUUAUUGUAUGUGCAUUGUUAGCAAAUUCUUAAGCUUUUUAAUUUGUGACUUUAUUUUUAGAAUGACCCGAUUCAUAUAGAUCUCAGACUUCGUCCCUAAUGUAUUAGUAUGAAUUUACAAGAGCUUAUAUAUAUAUAUAUAUAAAGAUACAUAUAUAUCAAUUGUAUCAUUCUGAGUUACCCUAAUUAAGUUUGAAAUCUUAAGUGUAAACUUGUUAAAUAUAUAAAGAUACAUACAUACAUACAUACAUACAUACAUAUAAUAUAUAUAUAUAUAUAUAUAUAUAUAUCCUGCAGAAGAAUGCCAUGCUCGGGGGUGCAUUGACAGGGGCUCUAGUAUCUGCAGCCAGCAAAGAGAACAAGGAUAAAGUUCUGGUGGAUGCAAUUACAGGAGGUGCCCAUUGCGACCGCUGCGGAAUUCAUCAACUAUCUCGCCUGAACAAGGACGUAAUAUUCUACCCGAUCUCUCUGUAGAUCCUGGAGAACUAUGAGUAAGUUUCUCGUGUCAUCUUCCUCAUGAAUUCGUAGAGCAUUGCAUAAAGAACGUUCAAGGGUUCAUCUAAACUACUGAAGGUUGAUACAAUGAAUUAUGAAUCUUCUGAUUUUAUCAUUCUUGAGCAAUAUGUUCGAUGCUUUUUUUUUUUUUGGGACAAACAAUAAUGUUAAUAGGUUAAAUAGAUAGUUAGGAGGAAAAAAAUUGGUAGUGAUCAAACAUGCUCCAUGAUGCAAAUGCAUAAUUGUUUUCCACAACUGCGAAAAAAUGUGAAUAUGUUAGAUGCUUACUUAUGCAAAGAUUGCUAUUUGUUGCGUUCGCCGAAGAAAAAAACAACCGAUGCCCCGUCCAUCAUAUUAUCUUCAUUUACAAAAUUGGUAUUCAAAUAUGCAAAUCCACAUCUAUAUAGUUUAGAUUAGUUUGGUACAGACAGACUAAAACUCGUGUAAAAAAAAAACAAUUAUAUUGUUAUAAGAACUAUGGUAUAUGCCGCAUCAUUUACAUAUAAAAAUGUGAAUAAUAAGUCAAAGUGCUUAAAAUCCAAAUAUUCUUUUAAAAGCAAAAGUAAAAUGUGCUUGAAAAAGAAACUCUAAUGUGCAUAGAAAAAUGUAUGACAGAGAACUUAGUCAACAAAAAUAGGGAUUUGGUUUAUGGUGCCUCGUAAGUUGGAAAUUUCAACUUUGUAUUUUGGGUAUGAAGCUACCUCACUUUACGGAGACCGUUCCUCUUUAAUCUACACUAGAUCACUAUAUAAUAAGCCUUGCAUGAUUAUUGUUCUUUGUAUCAGCGUCUGAGAUCUCUCUUAUAUUAUACACAAGCACAUACAUAGAAACACACAGAUCAAGCACACACUUACAUAUACAAAGAUUCAAAUGGAGCGUUCAAUGUGUCUUCUUUCAACCGCCUUCAUUCUUGUCUUGUUUUUGGCUGCUACCGGUAAUUAUACAUCUUUUGUUUAAUAAUUAAUUUUUUAUGAUGUUUAUAAUAAAGCAUCUUAUUCAACAAAAAAAAAUUGAUCCUUAGAGAUGGGGCCAAUGGGUGUUGAGGCAAGGACUGAGCCAAGCAAGGCAGUUGAGGGGAAGAUCUGUGAGGUUCCGAGCACCCUGUUCAAAGGGUUGUGCAUUUCAUCUAACAACUGUAAACACACCUGCAGAAAGGAGCAAUUCACCAGAGGCCAUUGUAGUGUCUUCACCCGUGCUUGCGUGUGCACCAAAAAGUGCUAAUUGAUUAGUUAAAAAGAAAUGUAAUCUGUGUAGAGAACGUGCUUGUGUAAUGUGAUGGAUUGAUAUGGCCCUGUAUCCACAUGGUUGCUUUUGCUAAUAAAUUGAAUGACCCUGCAUGGAUCAUUAUUCAUAUGUCUAGUGUAGUGUUUUCAUUACGCCUGACGUACUUUUAGUUGCCUAUUAUCCUAUAUGUUUUUCUUCAGGAUUAUUAUUAACAUUCUGGAUAGUCACCACAUACUCUUCUUUUGUUUAAUGACUUUCAAUUAAGAAAGAGUGCGCGAUAAUUAUCGUGAAAUGCUAAUAACAAUUUUUUCUUUUUUUCCAUUUUGACAAAGCAUUUUGUUGAAAAUUUUCACUUUGUGUACUUGGAUUCAACACAUUACUUUAAUUUGUGUCACAAAGAUUAUUUAAAUCACAUUGCCAAUUUCAUAUGUACCUUUUUGUCCACACCUUCUGUUGUAUUAAGUUCUUUUGCCUUUUAAACCAGUGGUAAUAAACGUAACACAAGGUGAGGUUGAUGCACAAGAAAAAAAAUUAGAAGAAGGUUCGAAAUUGCUUAACCAACUUUUAAGCAAAGACUUAAUUAUUUAUUUUUAUUUUAUUUUAUUAUAGAAGAAAUAGUCCUUAAAGAUUAAUAUUUUCUUGAUAACAUUUAAAUGACUCUUCCACAUUUUUUUUCUUAAACACUUUCAUAUUUUUCGGUCACUUUUCUGCAUAGUAUGUGAGGUCUUGCCAAGGACGGAGCCACCUUGGGCCCAUGGGGUGUAUGCCCUAACCCAGUUGUUUGUGAAAAAAUUGUACAUAUAUCAUAUAAUAAUUUCACGUGAUAAAGCAUUUUCAGAUAUGAAAUUUCUAAAUGAUCAAUUGAGAAAUCGUAAGAAAAUAAUGGAUUUAUGAUAACAUGAUUAUUUUUAUAGGAAGAGAUAUUUGAUAAUGAAAUUGUUAUGCAACACUUUCAAAACUUGAAAAUGCAUCAUGAGAUAUUGUAAUAUGUUGUAUGAUAUAUUUUAUGGAUUAGUGUAUGUGCAUUGUUAGUAAAUUCUUAAGCUUUUUAAUUUGUGACUUUAUUUUUUAGGAUGUCCCGAUUCAUAUAGAUCUCAGACUUCUUCCAUGAUGUAUUAGUAUGAAUUUACAAGAGCUUAUAUAUAAUAUAUAUCAAUUGUAUCAUUCUAAGUUACCCUAAUUAAGUUUGAAAUCUUAAGUGUAAACUUGUUACAGAUACAUAAAAAACAUUUCAUGCGUUUUCUCCCAACUAUAUGCUUCUUCCUGUUGCUUUUGGUGGCCACCAGUAGUAUUUCUUCUUGCUCGAUCUUGUUAACUAACUUCAUGGUUAAUAUAUAUAUAUAUAUAUAUAUAUAUAUAUAUAUAUAUAUUAUGAUUAUAAGCAUGCAUAGUAACCAUAUUUUGUUUGGAAUAAUUGUUUAUUAGGACGGCAGUUGCUGAGGGUAGGACAUGCGAGUCAGAGUAACCGCUUCAAUGGAACUUGGGUGAGUAAGAGUAACUGUGCAGUUGUUUGCCAAACUAAGGGCUUCCUCGGUGGCUGGUGCUUGGGUUUACGCUGUAGAUGCUUUUGCACACAAAACUGUUAAUUAGCUAAUUAAUUAAGCCAGUGAUGACCUGAUCACUUAUCACUUACUUAUUAGUGGGUGCAUGGACGCACGUACUUUGGUACUAGUGUGGAACUAGCUCAAAUAAUUCACGGUUAGGUUGUUAAUUAAUAUCGUAUCUCUGUUAUGGUUUUUAAUUUUCUUGUUUGUUAUGCAUCAUCGUCAUGAGUUACUUUGUACAAGAUGUCGUACUGUGUAACUUCUUUAUGGGUUAAUAUCAGUUUACUACCCUGAAGUUUUUUUGUUUUCAACAUUACACACAGGCGAAGGCAUAUUAGGACUAGAGUAGUCCUAGGCCUAUCCUCACUUGUAAAAAUAAUUACACCUUGCUUUGCAACCCUUCUCAACACGUGAACCAAAUCCAAUCAUUAUCUAUUUUUAAUCCAACAAAUUCCAUCCCAAAAUUAAGUAUAAUAUUUUGAAUCAUCAUUUAUCACAAAUCAAUAACAUUCAAAUUAAACUCAUCAUUCACUUUUAAUUAACAAAAGUUGUUUUUCACUUAUGCACUGCCAGGGCUAUUUCCCUAUUCUUCUUGAAUUUCAUAUAUUUAACCAUUCCAAAUUCCAAAUUUAUUGAAUGAAGAACAAUAAGGUUUGUUAAACUCUAUUAUCCUCUAUAAAACAUUUGUUUCUAUUCUAUCCUACCUCUUACUUUGAGUUUUAGGGUUUGCAAAUUUUUAGUAAUUCUCUCUAUUGAGUUUCUUUCAAUAGUAUAGAUGACAUCAUGCGCAACGGUCUCAAAAUAUGAAAUUCAUAUUAUCUAUGGAUAUGUUAAUUUUGACUAUUUAAUUAUUUGGAUAUAUAUUGUGAUGUUUUGCAUUUGUAAUUUUAUAAUCACUAUUCAAAUUUUAUUCUUCUAUACUUGUGUGAGGCCCCUCCUCACAAGAAAUCCUAGCUCCGCCAUUGACAUUACAUACAUCAAGUUUUUUUCGUCCCAAUCUAGAUAAUUAAUUUUGGGACAUUGUCAUACAUCUUCCUCAUGAAUUCAUAGAGCAUUGUAUAAAGAAUGUUCAAGGGUGCUUCAUCUAAACUACUGAAGGUUGAUACAAUGGAUUAUGAAUCUUCUAAUUUUAUUUUAUUUUAUUUUAUAUUAUUUUUUUCUUCUGAUAAAGGAUAACGUUGGUAGGUUAAAUAGAUAGUUGUUAGGGGGGAAGGGAUUCAGCAGGGAUCGAACUUACACCAUACAUGAUUUCUUUUUGGUACUACAGUAAAGCGUCAUCCGCCAGUAUGUUAGAUGCUUGCUGAUGAAAUGAUUGCUGUAAAUUUGUUGCAUUCACCGAAGAAAAGACAACCGAUGCCCCGUCCAUCGUAUUAUCUUACAUUUACAUAUAAGUCAUUCACUUGUUACUAAACAUUUUACACAAAUUGUAGAACCGGUUGCACAUAACCCAACCUAAUAGUGCUAUAUGUUGCCGUUUAAUUGUAUUAGUAAUAAUUGUUAAAGUUAAACUUAAUACCUCUCACAUAUAAAUAGAGUCGAACCAUUUAAUUGUAUUAGUAAUAAUCAUUUGGCAUUUAGAUACGAUGUUUAGUGCUACUGAUCGAGUUUUUAUAGAACAGUUUGUUAAAGAAGUCCAAACAAACAUUCCUAUAUCCAAUCCGAGUAAUGUUAGCGAGACUAAAUAAGUAAACUUAAUGACAUGGAAGUUGAUAAGUUGAUUAUUACUUAAACGUUGAUAAAUGUGCUCAUUUUCUAUUAGUGACACAUCAUUUAGUUUACAAAUUUUUAAAACUAAAUUUGCAAACUGAAUGAUGUGAUUGUAGAUGAUUGAAUUAUUAAUUAAAUGUCGAUUAAUGUGCUUAUUUCUUAUUGGUGUGGUUUAAAAAAUUUGGUCUCCCUAGUAUUAGUCAUACUCUAUCCAAUCCUAUAAUCUGUGUGUGGGGUCCAUCGUCUACCUGAGUAAGAAAAACCCCGCUUUAACCAAUUCAACGAUGUGGUACCUCAGCAGAACACCUUCUUUAGUUUCAAAUGCCAAACCAACUGAUCUAACCCUCAUUCCGUUGCACAAUUCCAUCUUCACAUUUUCUGAUUCUAGCCUUUUCGAUGAAAUUUGCAUUGUUGAAAUCCGAAAAAAUCCCCAUUGUUGAAAUCCGAAAAAAUCCCCUCAUUGAUCAUGAAAACAACAAGAAACAAGCGGAGACAACAUAUUCAUUUCCAUCAUGGGAAUGAUUUGCCUACCAAUGCACUCCAACCCAAUUCCAUUCCGUGGUAGUCCCUCGGGCUCUAUCCGAAUUGGGGUACAGAAUCCAAGUGAUCGGAGUCUUUUGGGAACAAUUCUUGUGUGCCAAGCUUGCGGAGUGUCCUGAUCAGCCUUAUGCCAGUCUGUGUACCUAUUCAUGCAGUGACAGUUUACUUCAUGAUGUCCCUAAAAUGAACUGCGAGGAUCGGAAUCCAUUUGGCGCUGCCUGUGCCCUUCUUGAUGGUACGUGGUUCUAUGUUGCCCGAGGCUAUAAGGGCAACCCUUCUAGUAAGCACUGCUAUAAUAAGAUGCAUCAUUUCCUAAUUUUAUGAAAUGGUUUAAUGUGUAUGUUUCAGUAUGUUUGGUGUUUUGUGUGUGGCUUGGUCAUGGAAAUAUAUCAAAAUCAAAUCAAAACUCGAAAGAUCAAUUACCCAAUUAGGGUUUUUGAUGUGUACUAGAACAAGCAAUUUUCAAUUUUAGCCAUUAUCAGUGAAAAAACACAAAUAUGUAAAAGACUUUUAGGCCGCUUUUCUAGAUUUAGAAAUAUAGCCACUCGAGGACUCAGCUGAAAAUGUGCACAUUGGCACAAUGAUCGCUUUUCUUGUAGAACUAACUCGAUGAUCAUAUGCAAAUAUUGACCCUUCAUCUUACUUAAACUCGGCUGAACGUCUGAACCUGAAGACAUGGAAGUGGCAAGCACUGCAAAACAUGCAAAAUCCACGAGCCUUUGCAUCAGGAUUCACUCACAAAGGCAGGUUCUUCUUGGUCGGUGGCAGCAAAGCCCUCGAGUACUCAGCUAAAAUCUACAACCCCAGCACCAACUCUUGGGUGUUUCUCAAGUCAUUUGUGCCCAAGGAGGCAGAAGGGUUCACCAUAGCAUCGCUUAACGGGCGGUUGAUGAUACUGACUUGGUCAGAUCAGUUAGGUGUGAAGCUAUGGCUGUGGACAUUACUGGCUAAUAAUCCAAAUUCGAUAUGUAGAUGCAGAUUAAUCAGUUUUUUACCAAACCAAAUCAUCGAGAGGUCGUGGAUAAGGGCGCAUGGGGCGAGGAUGGUUCCGGUUGGAGGGAAGGAGGUGUGGGUUUUUGUGGGAGAGAGGGAAAAAUUUUGGCUUGAGGUUGAUGGAUCAAAUGCAUGGCCAGUGUUUCCAGCACCAGCCUUUGGGCCUGGAAAUGGGAAUGAAAUUGUGCAGAAAGGUCAUAUUUAUGCCUUUUCUUUCAGUCGUGGGGUUAGAGUACUAAGUUGGAGAACAAUCCCUAUUUACUCAGUUUUUGAGAAAAAAUUUCAAUUUUCUGUUCUUUUCCCCCAAGAAGAUUGUAGAACAAUGAUGAUGUUGCAUGUUUUCUACUAAUGCAUGCACAAAAGAGUUUAUGCUAUAAAGACAAAAAAUUGGUGUCUGUGAGUUACGCAGAACUGCAUAAACCCUAAACUUGUCAGAAUCUGUAAAAGUUUGGUAGUAAUUGCUGCAAUUCAAAACAGAGAGAAAUAACUUAGAGAGAAGAAAAUGAAGACAUAGAAGGAGAGUGAUCAAAAUCUUAGAGAGAGCCAAUGUGCUCUUCUACGUGCAUUUUCAUUUUAUCACAACAGAACAAAAAAUAACCGUUAGAGAGGGAGAGAAUCUAUGAGAGCCUAUGAGCUCAUCUAGCCCUUCAUUACAAGAACCUAUGAGAUCUUGCCACUUGCUCACAUCUGAGCCUAAUACAUUAAGAGCUAAUCUCAACCCUUGAUUUCUAACAGCUCAUUUCACAAAGACUAACGUCUUGAUAAAAUAAAGAAAAUGACAGUUUAGACCUUAAUCAACCAACACUCCCUUCUAAGGUCUUAAUUGAAAUUACUCCAAGCUUGUCUCCCAAGGCACAUAACAUGUCUUUAGCUAAAGCCUUGGUGAAAAUAUCAGCUAGUCAGAAUUGCAGAUUAAUUAUUCCUUCCUAAAUUGCAUCUUUGAUGAAGUGAAACUUCCUUUUAAUGUGCUUAGACCUCUGGUGGAACACAAGGUUCUUUGACAUGGCAAUGGCAGAUGUGUUGUCACACAUCAAGGUAGUAAGCUCAAUCUGUUCUUCAUCAAAAUCAUGCAGCACAAAUCUAUCCAUAUGGCUUGAGUUGUAGCUUCAGAGGCACUCAUAUAUUCAGCUUCUGCUGUUGAGAGUGCAACACUUUGUUGCUUCACUGAGGCCCAAAAAAAUGCACCACUUCCAAAGCUAAAAGCAUAGCCAAGAGUAGAUUUCAUGUCAUCCUCAUCUCCAUUCCAGUCACUGUCAUAAAACCUAUGAGUAGUGUUGCAUUUCCCUUCUUGUAGUUGAUUCCAUAAUCUAUAGUCCCCUGCACAUAUCUUAGAAUCCUCUUAGCAGUGCCAAAAUGCUUGGUGGAAGGGUAAUGCAUAUAUCUGGCAAGCACACAAGCUGAGUACAUGAUGUCAAAUCUUGUUGCAGUCAAAUACAAGAGGCUGCCAACAAUUUUUCCAUACAAUUCUUCAUUUGCAGGUUCACUGCCAUCAUCUUUCCUUAGCUUGUCAAUGGGAGGUAAGGGAAUAUAGACAGACUUGCAGCUUUUCAAACCAAACUUGUCAAGUAGACUUAAUGCAUAUUUCUUUUGAUGGAUGAAGAUACUCCAUUCUUAUUUAAUAACCCCAAUUCCAAGAAAGUGAUGUAACAUAACUAAAUAUGUCAUCUCAUACUUGCUCAUCAUGUCACAUUUGAAAUCCUCAAUCAUCAGUGGACAACUCCCUGUGUAAACAAUGUCAUCCACAUAUAUGGAGACAAUCAAAGUUCCAUGUCCUUCCUUAUGUUUCACAUAUAGGGUAGCUUCACUAAGACUCUUUUCAAACCCACACUGCAGCAAAUAAGUGUUAAUGUUGCUAUACCAAGCUCUGGGAGCUUGCUUCAGCCCAUACAAGGCUUUCUUCAGUUUGUACACCUUGUGUUCCUUUCCCUUGACAAUGUAACCAUCAGGUUGGUCAGUGUACACCUCUUCUUCAAGAACCUUAUUCAGAAAACCAGACUUCACAUCUAACUGAAACAAUAUCCACCCUUUCUGAGCUGCCAAUGCAAUGAUAGUCCUUAUAGUGUCCAAUCUAGCCACAUGUGCAAAAGUCUCAUUAAAAUUAACUCCAGGCUUUUGAGUGUACACUUUGGCAACUAAUCUUGCCUUGUGUUUCUGUAUAGUGUUAUCCAGAUUCAAUUUAGUCUUGAAAAUCCAUUUUACUCCAACAAUGGGUUUGUCACUUGGUCUAUUAACCAAUUCCCAUGUGCCAUUCUUCUCAAUCAUAGAGAUCUCAUCCUUCAUUGCUUUCUUCCAAACUUGAUCUUGAGAAGCUUUAUUGUAGUUUCAGGAUCAAUGACACUAAGUUUACACUGAGCAAACACCUCAUUCAAAUUCCUCAAUUUCUUUGGUGUGUUAUCAUAUGUCUCAGUGACUUGGAUUUCACACUAUUCAUUCACAGUUCUAGAAUCAACUCUGUGUACAUAAGUGGCAUUAUCAACACAUGUGUUUGGAGAUUUCAACUCAGAGGCACAUAUGUUAGACCCUUCACAGGAACCAUUUUCAAUCUCAAUUAUACUCCCACCUUCAUUUGCAUUUGAGUAGGGCAAAAGGAUAUAAAUUGUCUCCAUGUUCUCCCAAUUGAGCACAUCACCUUCAUCAAAGACAAUAUUUCUGGAAACAAUGAUUUUGUAGCUUUUCAGAUCAAACACCCUGUAGCAUUUCUCUCUUGUUCCAUAUCCAACAAACACAUAUUUCUAACCUGUUUCUUCUAGUUUAUGCCUUAGCUGAGUUAGAACAUGAGUAUAAAACACAGAACCAAAGAUUCUCAAAUGUUUUACCCUUGGUUUCCUACCACUAAACUCUUUAAAUAGAGUUUUCUUCUUUAACUCCUUGGUAGGACAUCUAUUCAAAAGAUAGACAGCAGUGUGAACUGUUUCACCCUAGAAUUUAAGAGGUAGUUUCUUUUCAUAAAGCAUGGUUCUUGCCAUCUUUACAAUGGUACGAUUCUCCCUCUCAGCAAUGCCAUUUUGCUAGGAAGAAUAAACAGCAGUUAAUUGCCUUUCAAUACCAACAUCUUCACAAAAUUUCUCAAACUGCAAUGAUGUGUACUCCCUUCCUCUGUUAAUUCUGAGUUUCUUCAACUUGAAUCCAGUUUGUAGUUUAACCAUAGCCUUGAACAUUUUGAAAAUUCUGAACACUUCAGACUUGCCCUUCAAGAAAUAAACCUAGCACAUUCUGGACUUAUCAUCAAUAAAAGUGAGGAAAUACCUGUUGCCACCAAGUGUCUCACACAUGAGUCCACAAACAUUUGAAUGAACAAGCUCAAGUAAAAGAAAUGCUCUCCAUUUCUGUUCUUUGUCAAAAGCUUCUCAAUGAGAUUUCCCAGUAACAUAACCUUCACACACUUGAUUGUGGUAUUUGAGAUAUGGUAAACCAUACAACAUGCUAUUUUCCUUCAACAUCCUCAAGCUAUCAUAAUUCAAAUGCCCAAAUCUUCUAUGCCAUUUCCAUGAGCUAUCUUUAAUAGAUGCUCUAUUUGCCAUAAUGUGAUCCACAUAUUCAAAUAUCAGAUGGAAGCAACUAAUGCACAACAGCAACAUGAUCUUGUAUCUCUUUGUCACCGAAGAUACAAGCCAUAAAGUCACCAAAAUACAAGCCAGUAUCCAUGUUCAACCAUUUGAUCCACACUGAGAAGGUUCUCAUUUAGACUAGAUACAAUCAUAACUUCUGGUAUGAACCUUGUUUCUUUCUUAGUCUCCACUACCAGAGUUCCUUUGCCAAUUGAAUUAACCAGGUCUUUUGUGCCCAUUUUCACCUUGCACCUUGUACUGCUGUCAAUAUAGAUAAGUAAUGAUUCAAUACUAGUAAUAUGGUUACUACAACCACUGUCUAGGUACCAAACUCCAUUAUUUCCAUGCACAGAAGCCUAAUGGCAAGCAUAGAACAUCAUUGCAUUAUCCUGGACAUGGUUCAAAUAGUUGGCAGCUUGAGUUUUCUUUGGUUGAUGGCAAUCCUUCACCAUAUGUCCAAGCCUGUUGCAAUUGUGACACGUGGGUUUCCUUUUGAACCAACACUCUCCAUAGUGAGCCUUAUCAUAAAUCUUGCAUUUCUGUUUACUACCAUCAGUAAUCUCACCCUGUCUCUCAGGCUGAUGAGUUUUGUUUUCCCACUUUUUGGGUUUAAACUUCCAAUUGUUUUUCCCCUUUUGUGAUUUCCCUGUAUAAAUGGUCUAUUUUGUGUAUUUUAUGCAAGACUCGUACUAAAGAAGGCAUGCUCUGAGCUUGCAACAUCAUCUCCAUGUCUACUUAACCUAAGUUCAUAGCUCUUAAGAGAUCCAAUCACCUCUUGCACAGUCACAAUAUUCAAAUCAGAAGUUCUUUCAAUCACAACACAAAUUGGAUUAUACUUACUAGAUAGGCUAAUCAAAACCGUUUGAACCUCUAUUUGGUGAGUGAGAAUCUCACCAUAAGAUUUCAUCUGAUUAAUUAAUUCAAAUAGUCUAGUAAGAUAGGUAGAUAAUGAUUCAUUUUCUUUCAUCCUCAUAUAUUCAAACUUACGAAGCAAACUUUGAAGUUUAACAUACCUUGCAUGUUCAUCGCUGCGAAAUUCCUCUAGGAGUAGAUCCCAGGCACCCUUGGAUGUCUCUUGAUUCACGAUCCAAGGGAAAAUCUCUUUAGACAUAUCGCACUGAAUGAUUCCCAGUGCUUUAGCGUAUUUCAUGAGUUGAUCCUCCAUGUGAGUAUCAAACUCAUUGUCGUCUUCUUCAUCAUCGUCCGAUGAGGGUGAGUCUUCCUCCUUCUUUGUUUUUCCUCUUUCCUUAUUCUUCUUCGAUUUUGGAGUAACAAUUCCUUAGCCUACCAGUUUCCAAAUCCCAUACGAUUUGAAAAUGGUGACCAUUCUCACUUUCCAGAAUUCAAACUUUGUUCCAUAAAAAAAUGGGAGCUCGUAAAUCGUUGCUUCCAGACCUAGCCAUUGUAACUUGAAUCAGAAUAAAAUUGAGAGAUUUCACAUUGGAUUAUCUCACAAAAUUUCACAGAAAUCGACACCUAGUCCGAAAUCGAACCUAGGCUUUGGAUACCAUGUUAGAACAUGUAAAAGUUUGGCAGUAUUUGUAGCAAUUCAAAACAGAGAGAAAGAACUUAGAGAGAAGAAAAUGAAUAGAUAGAAAGAGAGUGAUCAAAAUCUCAAAAAGAGCCAAUGUGCUUUUCUGCUUGCAUUUUCAUUUUAUCACAACAUAACAAAAAAUAACCAUUAGAAAAUGAGAGAAUCUAGGAGAGCCUAUGAGCUCAUCCAUCCCUUCAUUACAAGAACCUAUGAGAUCUUGGCACUUGCUCACAUAUGAGCCUAAUACAUUAAGAGCUAUUCUCAACCCUUGAUUUCUAACAGCUCAUUUCACAAAGACUAACAACUUGAUAAAAUUAAAAAAAUGACAGUUUAGACCUUAAUCAACCAACAAAACUUUCAUCUUUCUCAAUCUUGUAGUGUCUUUCCUUCUUCGUUAGACUAUUUAUAUUACGUGUUUGCUUAGUUGAAAUAGGGGAAGUUGCAAAUUCGAGAAAGAAAAGAAGGAAUGUGAAUGAGAUUUUCUUUUCUCUUUUGUGAAAAUAAAAUUUACAACAGGAACUCCAUCCUUAAUAAGUUCAUUUGCCACUAAGUUUGCGUCAUUGAACACAUGUCGAACUUGAACAACUUGUAACAAUGACAUAAACCCUUUCAAUACUUUCAGAAGAGUAAAAGUUCUCAAGAAAGGAAAAUGAGAAUGAGAUCAACUAGGUGGGUCGAUUUUAGUCCUCCCUGCAGUGUCAAUCAUGAAUUUUAAGACGUUUUUUGCUACGUUUUGGACACCGCUAAUACAAGUUGGGUUGAGAUCUAAAGUUAAGCGGGCAAAUUCUAAAUCAAACAUUGUAAUGAGCAAGUGAUGAUCUAAAGCAAUUACAAAGUCCAAACCUUAACCUUCUCCCUAAGUUUAGCUCACACCCUCACACAUUAUAUUACAUUAAGCAACAACUACAACUUUUAUUCAUUCAUUUAAUUCUUCUUUUUAGGGAAUGAAAAAAUAAUUAUAGCUUGAGAAAGUGUGCCAGUAACACAAGUUGAUACACUAAAUGUUACAAUACGAAUUGUUGAAUACUUGGGAAAAAAAAUUCUAACGGCUUGUAUUAUGACACUUGGUGUAUCAAACCAUAUUCACGGCACAAUCAAAGCAAAUAUUAUUAAAAAGAAAUGAAAAAUGUCACUUGCAAUUAAAGCAAAUACCAAUUUUACACAUGAACUUGAUCCACCGGCACCGCCUGAUGCAAUUGAGGCUGCAUUGCAUGGCAUCUUCCGAUGGCAUUCUCGUAAAUGUCUCAUCACUGAUAAAUAUCGUAGUACAAAACACCCCCACCAAUUUUGUCAUCAGUGUUAGUCACAGAGAGAGAGAGAGAGAGAGAGUGAGGAGAGAGAGAAAGAAGAAGAAGAUGCCGAGAAGCAGUUUCUCAGGGGCGCUUACAGGGCCGCAAGUCGACGUGGUCAUCGACUUGGGAAACCCCUUGCUCAACCACACCGUCGAUGGCUUCUUGAAGAUCGGAACCGUACGAUUUUUCAACUUUUUAUUCUUUUUUUUUAAAUUAUCUUCAACAUUUUUUUUUUUUAAAAUUUUUGUUGUUUUUUCGGUUCAGUAUUUCACUUCUGGGUUUUGAUAGUUGCAAUGGCAAGGUUUAGAAUCAAACUGUAUCGUUUUGUUGGUUUGGUUUCAGGUUGCUGCUACCAGAGCUGUUGCAGAGGAUGCUUUCUCUGCGGCCAAGAAUGGUAAUGUUAUUUAUCAUUGCGCUCCAACUGUUUGGUUCCCGAUCGAGAAACACAGAGAAAAUGAAGAGUGGGAAAGUUUUAAAUUUCAUAUGCUGAUCAUAUUGUGCUUGCAGUCUGAUGAUGAUGAUUGUAUUUAUUUGGUUUUUGAAUAAGAUUUUUGGGUUUUAUUUUAGUUUUUUUAAUUGCAUUUACUAAAAAUGUGAGGUGAUUUUUGCAGGGAGCAUUUCGACUAGCGACUUUAAGCACACUGUGAGUAACCAGCACAGUCCCUUGUUUAAUUAAUUCGGUUUUUCGAUUUUGUGCUUUCUUGUAUGAUCUGAGAUUAGUAGCUACUCUUAACCUUGUAACCGAAAACAAUAUUAGUAACUACUUUCAGUUAAUUCAGCAUGUUCAGUUGUUGCUCAAUUGAUUUUGUUUAGUGGGAUCUAUUGCUUUUUGGUGGUCUGUCUUAUACUGUGGUAAUUUGUUGAAGAGGUGAUCGGUUGUUUAUUCAUAGAAGAAGGUUGGGAUGCAACACAAUUUCCGAAUCCUGCUAAUUGAGAGUACUGUUUCUUGCAGUUGAAGAAGAUGUGUAAAGAAGGUGCAUAUUGGGGUAAGUUGAGUCGUAUUUCAUCGUGUGUUAGAUGUAUGUAUGGAUGAGAUUAUGCUCGUCCUCUGGGAAAUUGCUUCAGCUUCCUCACUUUUGCGAAUUGAGAACAGCAUCAACAAGUUCUUCUAUUGCAUUGACAGGAACUGUAGCUGGAGUGUAUGUGGGAGCAGAGUAUGGUAUCGAGAGGGUCCGUGGACACAGAGACUGGGUAUAUGUCUGUUCGAAUUCUAGAUAGCUAGUUGUACAGUACCUGUUGGCCGUAAUUUUCAUGCUCAUUCGUCCUAGUUUGCACAUGAAGCUUCUAGAUUUGGGAAAUUGUUUCAGAUUGUCUACUUGCUAAGUUAAAACUCUUAAUCUCUAUGUUCCCUAGAUCCUCCCGUUGCCAUGAUUUGUAUAAUUGUUCGUUUUCAGUAUGCGCGGGUAGCUUCUAAAAUUACAUUCAAGCAUGCCAUUUCAAGUUCCUUUUUAUUUAAUUUAAUUUCCGGACUUCGAUUGGAACUUCUGUAUCUGCUCACCCUUAUUCUUUUGAUAUCCUGCAGAAGAAUGCCAUGCUCGGGGGUGCAUUGACAGGGGCUCUAGUAUCUGCAGCCAGCAAAGAGAACAAGGAUAAAAUUCUGGUGGAUGCAAUUACAGGAGGUGCCAUUGCGACCGCUGCGGAAUUCAUCAACUAUCUCACCUGAACAUGGACGUAAUAUUCUACCCGAUCUCUCUGUAGAUCCUGGAGAACUAUGAGUAGGUUUCUCGUGUCAUCUUCCUCAUGAAUUCGUAGAGCAUUGUAUAAAGAAUGUUCAAGGGUUCAUCUAAACUACUGAAACAUACAAU